GACAAAACUUUUUUUUUCCAGAAAACUUAUUUCUAUGUAAUAUAUUACACAGUGUUUGGAGGAAAUAUUGAUUUAACUCACUUUAUCAAAAUGCAUUUGUGCAUUUGUGCAUUUCCCUCAUUAUUACAGUUUUUAAAAGAAAGAUACUGCUGGCCAUCUCAGGAAGUCUCGUCUGUUGUAUUGUAAUCCUGAUCAUUGGAUGCAUCGUUCUAAAAAUCACCCGUAAACCAGAGGUAAAAGAAACAGCACCAGAGGAUUUGUUUUUCUCAAUGACAGACUCCAAGAACAGUAAGUGUUGCUCUUUUUUAUUUUGUUUGUUUGUUUGUUAGUGUUUGUGUGCGUUUAUGUUCUGGUAUAUAUGGUUUAUGAGGUCACAAAUGUGUAUAAUGACAUGGGUACUACAAUGUAAACACUUCCUGUGUCAUCAUAAACCAAAAGACUUAAACAUACUAAAUGGUGUUUAAUGAAAAAAAAAAAAAAAAAAAAUGCCUUUAGUUUUCUGUGAGGGGUAGGUUUAGGUGUAGGGUUGGUGUAGGGUGAUAGAAAAUACAUUUUUUACAGUAUAAAAAACAUUAUGCCUAUAGAGAGUUCCUGUAAACCACAUAUGCAAGUGUGUGUGUUAGAGUGUGUGUAAAAUUUCCCUGUAAAUUUAUAUGGGUCUAUGAUUAUCCUGCAGAAACUAUUUCACCCAUGAAGGAGUACAUGGACAACAGAUCAACAGAGCUGGAGGGUAUGUGCUUUUACUAACAUUACAAUCAAAUGAUUUACCAAUAUACUAUUUCCCAAACUUUAUACUUUGUAAAAAAUAUUAAGUGACUCAAAGUGAACAAGUUUUUGCUCGUAUUUACAAGCCAAAAGUAUGAUUUUGUAUUUUAAACUACUGUAAAAUUGCCAGACUCUCUCUGUUAUCAUUCAGAAUGUCAGGAAAAAGCAGAACUGAUCGCUGACCGUGUUUCAGCUGUUCAUGAGGAUGGUGUGAUUAAAGGUAAGAGACCUAACAAAUAUAUUUCUACCAAUCAUAAUACUGUAAUAGAAAUCAGUCAUUUUACUUAUGUACAGUACAUCACAGGAUUAUGAUAAUGUUUGUGAAUUUUUUUUUUUAUCACAAAUGACACAAUUUUUCUCUUAAAGAUGAAGACGCACCAGCAUCAGAAGCCAAUGGCCUGACAUCAUUCAAAGGUAAAGUUCAAUUUAUUCUUAUUUUACUAUCAUUGAGAGGCUAUUAUUAUUAUUAUUAUUAUUAUUAUUUUUNNNNNNNNNNNNNNNNNNGUUUUAGUAAUUGUAUCUCUUGUGUGUGUGUGUGUGUGUGUGUGUGUGUGUGUGUGCCCAUAUAGUUUUCAUUCUUCUUUAUUUAAUUUUUAGUCAUGUAUUAGUGCAUAAAGUUAAACUAAAUAUUUAUAAAUAUUAAUAUUUAUUUAUUUAAUUUCAGUUAAAUUCAUUUUAUUUAAAUAAAGACAUUUUUUAAAAGUUUUAAUUAACUUUAAUGACCCUGGUUAAAUUUUGUCUUA
rnacentral:lncRNA from 12 species